ACAAUCCCACUGAUGGCAUUUUUCCUUAUACCAUGGAGAAGUCUGUUUAAAAAUGUACAUCAGAAUCCCAAGGUGGUUUCUGUACUGUUUAAAAAUAUACUCUUAACACCCUCUGGAAAUUCUGAUAUAUUCACCAAAUUAAAACAAAAAUCAAGGUUGUGGGCAGUUAACUAUUGGACAUUUCUGAAAACCUGGAUUACAGCCUUUAUCAUCUUCCUUCUAUCAGUUUUAAGCCUCUGAGCCACAUGAGUGGCUAGGCCCUCCCCCAAAGACCUCCAACUGCCAGAUUCCACCCACAGGACAUUCUAACUGCCCUAACUGCUGGAACCAGGCCCGCACCCUACAGAGUAGGGCCCAUGGUCCUACAUCAGUCAGGGUCUGAGUUGAUGUCCACGGCUCCUGUUACCACUGAGGGCUGAUUAAGAUGCCUGGGGUCUGACCAGUCAUCCAAGUUACUGGCAUCCGAGGGCCAUGAUGCUGUCAGGGCCAAAAUGAUCUGGGUAUUGAAAUCAGGAGCUAUGCAGGGCCAGCCCCAUCCUUUGCUGGCCCUGGGAGAGCUGGCCUGCUCCCCACUGGAUACUGAAGCAGGAGAGCUGCCCCUCCCUCUCUCUGCACUCAGGAGAGAUGGCCCUACCCCUCAUCAUGGGCAUGGGAGAUCUGGCCCAUUCGGCAUGGGCCUAGAAGAGCUGGCUCCACACCUUGCCUGAGGGGAAGAGGCCCAGAGGCCGAGGCUGAUCAGCUCAGCUACCAAUCAGACCCACACCCUGGGCCUUGGGUUGGCCCACCCUAACCUCUACCCCAUCUAUGACCUGCUAGAGCACAUGAAGGGAUUGGUCCUGCAGAAUGACAGACCCAGGACUCCAUCAUGACUUGGGUCAAUAGCAGGAUAUCUGGGAGGAGUUCCGUGAGGGUCCAGAGAUGACGUGUGUGCCAGAGGCCUUGAACCAGAUCAAUGACUCUUUGCAAGGAACAUUUACGGGUGUGGCUGACUGGACAAAAGGUAUAAUGUGUGACACACUGCAGCUCCCAAUGUCACUAGGUCAAAUGAAGAGGUGUUGGAGAGAAGGGAAAAAAAUGGAAGAGCAAGUAACUCUACCAGGAAGCUUCUUACAUCAAGGAAAGGCUACAAGUUCCUCCUGCCAGAGAUAAGGAGAAUGACUGCUAUUAGCAAGCAGGAACUUGCCUCAAGGCCUAGAGGGAAUGGAGACCCUUAUCCAAAUGCCUGACCUUGGGAAAAGGACUUCCUCUGGGGACCAGACACUCCAGUACAAUUUAAGAGCAAUUCUCAUUCCUCAAGGAGAUAACCACUGAGCCUCCACCUCCGAGGUGCUGGAUUACUACUUGAACAACGUCGGUGCGGAAGAUCAGACCGAAAGCUUCCGGCAAACUAGUCAAGCACUCCAACAAGACGCUCCACAAGAUCUGUGGUUGCUAUGACAACUGCACAAAGCGCCUUCAGCGCUUAAUUGCCGGAACCGACAGAUUGUCAGCAGCAUGUAUGUAGAAGCACCCGCCCCUUCCCCACCCAGAAACCCGCCCCAAAGCCUCUCCUCACCGGCUUCACUGUAGGCCAUGCGCAGCACUCUGCCUAACGUGGAGAAGGCACAACGUGGCUGGCACAGACCUGUUCCCUGGACGGCGAAAGCCUCCACCUUGCAGCCCGAAGCCACAAACAACGCGUCCCGCCCGCCGCAGCAGAACUGCUCUGGCUCCCGCUGGCAGGGGACCACCUGCUGCGACCCGAACGGGUGCAGGUUGUACAGCUGCACCAUCCCGACAACUGGACUGUAGAGCGGCUUCCGCAAACUAGCAAGCUGCUCCGGAUCACGUGAGCGCUGUGCCCCCGCCCUGCGCUCGGCUUCUUAAAGAGGCCUUGCGGGUGGAGUGACUGGCUCUGCACUAGGUGGGUGCGGGGACCUCGGAUCUUUUCCUUGGGACUUCACUUUACUGCUUCUGGACAGAAGGGUAAUUCUCGACCCUUGAAUGUGUUUGACUCGAUCAUGUGCUGGUUUAUGCCUGGAUUGACUUCAGGGCGUCUGUCUUGUCUUCCCGUAGCCUUUGAGCUUCUGAAGGAUGGAGCUGCAAACCUGAUAUAUAUACCGCUCAACUUGGAUUAAACAUGCCAGAGUUGUUUUGAAAUAGAAAUACUGUGGAUUGUACAAUGGAUUUUUUUUUUUGAAAAGGCAUAUCCUUGAAGAUGCUUAGCAAAAAGAUAAUGUAUUGCAUGAAAGAAUCUGUGAACAUUUUGUAGGCAUUUGGCAAAGAUAAUAGAAAGAAAGGAGGGAAAUCCCCCUGAUGAUCAGUGCAGUGUUCCUAAAUAUACCCUUUAUAAGAGAAACUUGCCGUCUGAAUUCUACUUUUGGAAAUUUAAUACAACAGAUAUUAUAAUAUUUUUAACAAUUCUAGGAAAUGUGUAUGCAUGCAUGCACGUAUGUAUUGACUGAGGAAUGCUCUUUGACACCGGGACAAAACUGAAAAGAGCAAACUUCAAUUCCCAUGUCGAUCACCAUCAUAAGUCCUUUGUUCCAAGAAUUUAUAAAAUGGGAGCAGUUGGACUGAAGUUAAACCUGCUUCCAUUUCCCAUACCUUCCAAAUGAAGAUGAAUUAUGUGAUAGCCUUCCUCACCCACUGCUAGGAACACUUUGGGAGACAACAGGUUUAUCAAAUUCAAUAAGCAGAGAAAAGCAUAGAAAUCUGGCCCGCAGAAGUGGUAGAGGGAAUCAAGCAGACUGCAACGCAUGUUCUAGAUUCGACACCCAUGAAUACUUCUUUUCCCUUUCACAAGUAUCUGUCCUUUUAAUUAAUUUUCCUCUUCAAGACUGGUCUGGAUAUUAUUUUAAUGCAAUUUGACUUACAUGAGAUUCAUUCUGUCGUAGAAUUGCACCAUCUUCUCUAGAAAGCCUCUUCUCCUUGGUAUAGGCCCUGAAACUGGCUCACCCAAGGGCCUUUAGGAGGAGAUGUUUUAUCUUUAAUAACCACUUUGUUCACUGCUAUCAACAUCAGCUUAAGAGAGAAAAUAUUUGUUUUAGGUCAGUGUUUGGGAGAUAGGGUCCAACAUGGAGUAAACUGGUUCCAUCCGGGCUGAUCAGAAAGCAGAGAAAGGAGAAUGGCUUUCUCCUUAUUUUUUUUUCCCUCAGUCAAGGACCUCACAACACUGAAUGGCACUACCCACAUUCAAGUUGUGUCUUCCUUCUCCCACUAAACCCUCCUGGAAAUACUACCACAGACACAUUCAGAAGUAGGUCACCAGGUGAUUCUAAGUCCAGUAAAAUUGAUAAAAGUAAUUAUUGCAUGAAGAUAAGGUGAAGUGUGUGUGUGUCUAGAUUCCAUGUUUGUGAGGAUCUGUGAAUAGAAGCCACUCACUUGUCUCCUGUUACAAAAGCGGGGACCAGGGUGGCUUGCCAUCAUUUCCUAGUGGGAGAGGCCAUUUGUUCUUCAGUGCUACCAUGACAAAUACAGCACACUGGUUGGUUUCAGCAACAGACUUCUUAAAUUUUUUCUCAGUUCUGGAGUUUAGAAGUCUGAGAUCAAGAUGUCAGAGACCUGGUGUCUUCUGAGGCCUCUUUACUUGACUUGUAGAUGGCCAUCUUCUCACUGUCUUCACAGUCUUGCCUCUAUAAACUUCAUUCUUGGUGUCUCUUCCUCCUCUUAUAAAGAUGUCAUCUCUGCUAAGGCCUUCACGUAAGACCUCUAUUAAACUCAAUAACCCCAUAAAGUGUUGUCUGCAACAUUGAGGUACUAGGGUUUAGGACUUCAAUGGGAAUUUUCAAUAGAAUUUAGCCUAUAACAGAGAUUUCUAAGAGUGACAUUCUAGUUGAAGAAACCUCACUUUGGGACUUCUUAACACUGCAUUUGCUGGAGAAGCUUAGGUGAAUUAUACAGUUAUAAAUAGUAUCCCAGGCUGAUACUGGUGUUAGCCCUUCUGGAGAUUACUACAACGCUGGAGCUCCAAAAUCAGGGACAUAUUUCCUCAGCCACCUAUGGAGGGCAGGCUCUGUGGACAAGUUGUUCAGGGAAGGCAGGUUCUGUUGAGAGAGCAGGCUCUAUGGGGAGAGCAGGCUCUGUAGGGGAGCAGGCUUUGUAGGGCAGGCAGGCUCUGUGGGAAGAG